GGGUGAGUAACACGUGGAUAACCUACCUAUAAGACUGGGAUAACUUCGGGAAACCGGAGCUAAUACCGGAUAAUAUUUUGAACCGCAUGUUCAAAAGUGAAAGACGGUCUUGCUGUCACUUAUAGAUGGAUCCGCGCUGCAUUAGCUAGUUGGUAAGGUAACGGCUUACCAAGGCAACGAUGCAUAGCCGACCUGAGAGGGUGAUCGGCCACACUGGAACUGAGACACGGUCCAG
rnacentral:rRNA from 1 species